UCACAAAGUAUGAAGAGAAUGUCGGGAGAGGAAGUGGUGGCUCUGAGUCAGCACGAGUCAUCUGGUUCCAGUGACAAUGAAGACUGAGGCAAGCUGCGCAUAUCUUGGGAUCUUCACAGCACAGUGGCUGGGAAGGCAGGCGGACCCGUCUAUCAGCUUCUCCCUGGUGGGAUUCUUGCGGGGGCAGGGAUCGAGUCAAACCUUGGAAAUGACGUCAUUCUGAACUCAUCUGCCUUUAUCCAGAAGACUACCAAAGCAAACCAGAGGACCAGAGAACAGCAGCUGCUCUGGACAAAGAGGGGAGGACACCCACACCCACAUACCAAGUUCUGGUUGACUUCUACAGCAGAAGAAGCAGGAGACACAAGAAGACUCAGAGGGACUGAAAUAUAAGAAGAUCGAUGCCAGAUGUUGUUGUGAUGACAACCUGUUGGGUUGAAGGACCCCAGGAAGACACAGUCCAGAUUCACAGGGACAGAGCCACUCACCUAUUGUCACAUGCAGCACAGAAUAAUGCAGAGGCAUGGCAUCAUAACAAUUCCUGAAUGGUGCUUCUCAGAAGAUGGUACUUCUUGGGGUCUGGUACCUGGACUAGUGAGGCUUCUCAGGGGAUGGGACCCCAACCCAGAAUGACAACAUCACCUGAUAACUUCAUCUUCAUCAUUAUCAUCAUCAUCAUCAUUGUUGUUAUUCCUUUUGUUUUGUUUUGAGAUUGUAAUAAAAUUAUAUCAUUUCUCCAUUGCCCUCCCUCCCUCCAAA
rnacentral:lncRNA from 1 species